rnacentral:rRNA from 1 species
UCUGGCAGUUAUGGCGAAGAGGUCACACCCGUUCCCAUUCCGAACACGGAAGUUAAGUUCUUCAGCGCCGAUGGUAGUUGGGGGUCUCCCCCUGUGAGAGUAGGACGUUGCCAGGC